AAAGGAUCAUCAAUGUAAAAGCGUUCGUUCGAUACACCAUAAACGUACAUACGUAGCCCAAAAAGGAGACAUACGAAAAAGAAGAAAUAAAAAAAAAAAAAAGAAAAAAAGUAGAGAGAAAAAAAAAAGAGGUACACAGUGCAGAAUGAAGCAUCUAUCGAGAUUCUGUAUAUCUAGCUACGGCUGAAACGAAAUCACCACUAAUUGUGUGCAUCGUCUAAAUUGCGACAAACACCGGAUGUAAGAGAGAGUGAGAGCUCCAACGGUAAUACGAUCUACGUCGGUACGUCGCGCAUCGACGUGUCGAGAGUUUAAGGUUUAAUGUAUUUUUUGGGGUGUAUUGUUUGGCGGGUUCUACUUUUUACGGUGGUGAAAAACGCUGCACAAGCGAGAUACUGUGAGUGGGAGUUCCAACGUUUUACAAGACGGCAAAUACCGGCCACGCAUUAACGCGUGCGACAAUAUAAUAUAUAUAUAGAUAUAUAUAUAUGUGUGUGUAUAUAUAUAUAUAGAUCAAGUGGUAUGUAAAUGUGUGUAUAUAUAACGUGUUAUUAAAUAUAUAAGAUAGUCGUUCAAUUGUGGCGUGAAACAAGUAGAACUCUCGGAAGAAGAAAAGGCGCAAAUUGGGCGGGAGAUUGUGAGGUUAUGGAUGAGAGCAUGUCGGCGGAAGACCGAAAGAUAUAUAGAUAUAUAUAUCGUGGAUAGGCGAAUAAUAAUAUAUAUAUGUAUAUAUAGAUAUAUAUCAAGUACCCGCUUCUAACGACUAGUUUGACGAAUACGAAAUUUAAUUAAUCAUAAAUACGUACUACUAGCCUACAUUACCGAAAAUUCGCAAUUGGAAGUUGCACGAGAUGGAAAGUCGAUUAUAUUCGUACCCUGUGCGUUUCGCGAUCACGAAAGAAAGAUAAAAAAGAGCGUGACAGAAAUAGAAAAGACAGUGAAAAAAAGGCAUGCAGAAAGUGUAAUGAAAAAAGGUUGCCUUCCAACGAGCCCAAAGAAGAGCCAGCGCAUAAGUUCUGUGAAGAUUAUUGGUCGUGAGCAGAGUGGCACGUGCUCGUACUCGGGUGAUCAAAAAACACUUAAAAUAUAUAUAAGUAAUAAUAAUUUAUGUACACAAACAUGUAAGGUAUAUAUAUAUAUAUAUAUAAAUAUAUUAUGCAGACAGAAAAAAUCACAGCUAUGUCAUAGUAAAAAAGAGCAUGCAGAGUAAAAGUGUGUUGAUGCUCACAUACACGCACGCACGCAGGCCAGAAGAGAGUUUCAUUUUUGUUCGUACACAUCGCCAUUAUCAUUGUCAUUAUAUAUUUUUUAGUUUUGCUUGGUUGGUUGGUUGCUUGCUCCGUUUUAAAAAACGAGUAAAAAUAAGGAAAGGUGCAAACUGUUACCUUUAUUAUUCGGUCAAGUCAAGCAAACCUCGGGGGUCCACGAGAUACCGACGCAUUCCCAGAGAGCCAAAGCAACGUAAAUGUAAUACACACUGUGUCUGAGGGACAGGAAUUUUUCUGGAUUUCAAGGAGAAUAGAAUGGAUUCAAUGAAUUUAGAAGGUUCGAUAAUGAAAUGUGCGUGAUCUCGCUACGAAUAAAUUCUCAUAAUGAUUAAUCUCAUAUCUCUAUAUAUAAUUAUAAUUUCAGGAUUAUUAGUUUAUAGCUUGCUUUUAAUUCGUACGAGAACACUACGACGAUUAAUGAUGGUGAUGCAGGGAUCGAAUUAGUAAAGCAUUAUGACGUGAUUCGAUGGAUAUUGAUAUUAUGGCAAUUCGGAUAAAGAUGGAUUUGAUUAAUCUUUCAAGAUGUAUAAUUGGAUCAGGAUAUUUAAGGAUGAUCUCGACCUCGACGUUAUUUUUUAUUGUAAAAUUCGUUGGAAAAUUUACGUUUAUUAAAUCUCGAGUUUUCAAUAAUCUCUUAAAUCGCAAUAAAAUUUUCAACGGCAAAAAAAUUUUAAAUACUACUAAAUACGCAUAUCCGCUUAAUCAAAUCUACCAAAAAUUAAUUAAUAAUUACAAAUUCUAAAUAACUGGACUAAAGUGUUAACAAUAAACUCAGCUAAAUAACUCUCUAAAAAGUUUGUGAACAAAAAGCAAAUAACAAACACUCGUCAGACUAAACGUAUUAAAUUCUAAAAAUAAAAUGCCACAAAUACAAAUCCAAAAAUAAAUUAUCUUACUAAGAAACAAAGCACUCGUUACUCGUUUUAAAAAAAAGAAAAAAAAAA